rnacentral:tRNA from 1 species
AUUUAUAUAAUAUAAAAAAUAUAUUUGAUUUCCAUUCAAAAAAUUUAAUUAAAUUUAAUAUAAAUA